UACGUAGGGGCAGGCAGUUGUCCGGAUUCAUUGGGCGUAAAGAGCUCGUAGGCGGUUCAGUAAGUCGGGUGUGAAAGCUCCGAGCUCAACUCGGAGAGGCCACCCGAUACUGCUGUGACUUGAGUCCAGUAGAGGAGCGUGGAACUCCUGGUGUAGCGGUGGAAUGCGCAGAUAUCAGGAAGAACACCUGCAGCGAAGGCGGCGCUCUGGGCUGGAACUGACGCUGAGGAGCGAAAGCGUGGGUAGCAAA
rnacentral:rRNA from 1 species